UGACGAAGCGACGCCGCGUGUGGGAAGAAGGCCUUCGGGUUGUAAACCACUGUCAGGAGUUAGGAAGUGCAGGAGCGUUAAUAGCGUUCUUGCUUGACUAAGGCUCCAGAGGAAGCCACGGCUAACUCUGUGCCAGCAGCCGCGGUAAUACAGAGGUGGCAAGCGUUGUUCGGUAUUAUUGGGCGUAAAGAGCACGUAGGUGGUUUUGUAAGUCAGAUGUGAAAGCCUUCUGUUCAAAGGAAGAACGGCAUCUGAAACUGCAGAUCUUGAGUGUAGGAGGGGAGAGUGGAACUUCUGGUGGAGCGGUGAAAUGCGUAGAUAUCAGAAGGAACGUCGGCGGCGAAAGCGACUCUCUGGCCUAUUACUGACACUGAGUGUGCGAAAGUUAGGGGAGCAAACGGGAUUAGAUACCCCAGUAGUCCUAACUGUAAACGAUGGGCACUAAGUAGAGGG
rnacentral:rRNA from 1 species